CGAGAAACCUUUAGUCAAUGUGCGCAAGCACGACAAGAUUAAUCCGAGUGUUUCCUGCUAAAGGAACCUUUUGACAGUCCUAGAAACACUGUUGAAUAAGGGGUGGGCAAGUUCUGGUGUCAGCCGCCGCGGUAAAACCAGCACCUCAAGUGGUCAGGAUGAUUAUUGGGCCUAAAGCAUCCGUAGCCGGCUCUGUUAGUUUUCGGUUAAAUCUGUACGCUCAACGUACAGGCUGCCGGGAAUACUGCAGAGCUAGGGAGUGGGAGAGGUAGACGGUACUCGGUAGGAAGGGGUAAAUCCUUUGAUCUAUUGAUGACCACCUGUGGCGAAGGCGGUCUACCAGAACACGUCCGACGGUGAGGGAUGAAAGCUGGGGGAGCAAACCGGAUUAGAUACCCGGGUAGUCCCAGCUGUAAACCAUGCAAACUCAGUGAUGCAUUGGCUUGUGGCCAAUGCAGUGCU
rnacentral:rRNA from 2 species